AUCGCUUCUCGGCCUUUUGGCUAAGACCAAGUGUAGUAUCUGUUCUUAUUGGUUUCUUAUCUGAUAUGUCCUUUAUCUGAGGACAAUAUGCUAAAUGUAUUUUUGUGAGUAGGAGUUGGACUAGGUGCUUGCUCCAUCCACUCCACACAUCCACCUGGUAUGGCAAUACUUCCAGCAAUGAUGCAGCCCCU
ensembl:snRNA U2 U2 spliceosomal RNA